CCCUUCUCAGGAUUACACCUGGAGAGUUCCCAGCACUCUACCAGUCUCGACUAUGGGAGGGAGAUUCAAGCAGAAGCAUACUCAUUCCAUUCCUAGCUUGGGCAGUGGCUAGCAAGUGGAAGACAAUCUGCUGCAAGU